AUGUGAAUAGCAGAAUAUCAGUGAAUCAUCGAAUCUUUGAACGCAUCUUGCGCUCCUUGGUAUUCCGAGGAGCAUGCCUGUUUGAGUGUCAUUAAAUAUCUCAAAACUCUUGUGCUUUUGUUGGCAUAGGACUUUUGGACAUUGGGAGUUUGCCGGCUGCUUGUAAAGUAGUGGGCUCUUCUGAAAAGCAUUAGUUGAGGAGCUUUGCACUCUAUUGGUGUGAUAAACUAUCUAUGCCAAGAAAUGCUUCUUGAUCCUCUGCUGUCUAACUGUCUAUAUAAGACAAAUAUGAUAAACUUGACCUCAAAUCAGGUAGGACUACCCGCUGAACUUAAGCAUAUCAAUAAGCGGAGGAA
rnacentral:sRNA from 1 species